CUGCUUCCUCAGCACCGGUUAUGCAAGAGGCUUUGGAAGCAAGACAAAAUUACAGCGGCAAGAAAUCAUCGCACGGCUCUGGUGGGAAAAGAUAUUAUCCUGCGUUGCCAGCGAGACUGGCCGCCGGCAGGUAGGGCCCGGAGGAGCGCUGCGUGGCAGGAUGAUCGCUGAUAAGAUGCCGGGUCCUGCUCCGAUGGCCUCGGGAGAGGGAAGCGCUGUGCUGUGAAGCUAUGGAAACGGCCAGGCUGGGUGCGGAGCGGUAAUUGGGCCACUCGCAUCACCGCAGGUAGUUCUUCCCCCGUUCCAGGAUGAUGAGAACAGCAGUGGGAGAUUUAUCCUUGAGAAGGGAAGGGUUUAGCAGCCAUGCAGUACCUGUGAGGAGGUGUUCAAGAAGACAGCCAGACUCUUCAGAGCAGUCUGUGGUGAGAGGAAGAGAGACAACAGGUAUGAGGUGAAACCCAGGAGAUUUUAGGAUCUGUGUUGGCAGAACGCAGCGAGCAGAUGGUGCCCUAAAAUCCCCGCGCCCCGAAGAGCGAGCUAGUGAUCAUUUGUGAAGCUCUUGAGAUCUAUUUUUUUCCCAGACCCUGCUGAGCCUGGCGAGGAGCGUAAUUGCAGCCUGGACUGGCUGGAGAGGGCAAUACCCGGAUGGGCUCCUCGCCUUUCAGGCUGUAAUUGGGCCCUGGCGAUACAAAGCACAAAGCUCCUUUCCUUCCUGUUUGCCGGGCUCCCUCCGCGAAACCUUCCCCUGCCUGUGCUGGAAAAUAUGUAAAUACCAGGGCACGGGAGAAUUGCUCCCUCGUGCCUGCGUCACGUCUGAAAU